CUUAACCCUGGAAAGAUAGUCUGCGUAAAAUUUACGCAUGCGUUUUCGAAUAAUUGCUCUAUCUUUCUAAUUAGCGCGAAUCCAUAGCUGUGCGUUUAGGACAUCUCAUUCGUCGUUGGGAGCUGCCGCGUGACGUAAGUGUCAAUAAGAUAUUGAGGCAAAUAUAUAUCACAAUGGGGAGUAUCAAUUUCAACGAACACGAAAUCCUGGCCGCUCUUAUGCAAAGUGAUGACGAGCUUCCGUGUGAGGACACCGACAGUGAAGUAGCGGACCACGUUUAAAGUUUUCUUUUUUUUUAAGUAAAAAUAAAAGGAGUUUAAAAAAUUAUCUGCAGUAUUAAUUAUUCUAAUAUAUGUGUAUAUAUAAUAACAUACAAUUCAUUAAAAUAAACUAUUAAACCUAGACCUACAACUAAUUCAAAUUCUUGCGUAAAUUUUACGCAUGAUUAUCUUUUCCGUAUUACAAAAUAUGAUUAUCUUUCUAGGGUUAAG